rnacentral:rRNA from 1 species
GGUAUCCUACGGGGGGCAGCAGUAGGGAAUAUUGCUCAAUGGGGGAAACCCUGAAGCAGCAACGCCGCGUGGAGGAUGAAGGUUUUCGGAUUGUAAACUCCUUUUGUUAGAGAAGAUAAUGACGGUAUCUAACGAAUAAGCACCGGCUAACUCCGUGCCAGCAGCCGCGGUAAUACGGAGGGUGCAGGCGUUACUCGGAAUCACUGGGCGUAAAGAGCGCGUAGGCGGGAUAGCAAGUCAGAUGUGAAAUCCUAUGGCUCAACCAUAGACCUGCAUUUGAAACUGUUAUUCUCGAGUAUGGGAGG